UCGUGCUAAGCGGGGCGUUAGCGGUGCCUUGUAACCUGCAAUCCGCUGUAGCAGGGUGGAAGCUCGCAUUGAGGGCCGAUCUUGUGGGGUCUGCCCCUGGUAAGUGGUGUUGACAAUUGGGUCUUGCGCAACGAAAACCUAUAAACCCCGCCAGGUCCGGAAGGAAGCAACGGUAAGUAGGCCCUUUCGUGUGCCGCAGGGUAGCCUGGUUCGAGCUAACUGCCAGGGUAACGCUCGGAAGAUUGUGUUCGAAGGCGAGUGCACGG
rnacentral:SRP_RNA from 1 species